UUCUACUCUCGAAUGUGAUGUCGUUGUACGUCGUCGCAUCGGACGUUGAAGGCUGCCGUGGUAGCUUCAUGUGCACGGCUCCUUUUAAAUGAAUGAGCAGAGAGUCAGCUUGCUUCGGAUUGAUAUGAUCUAGACCGUAGCUGCUGAAACGUAUCGACCUGCUUUAUUAGUCUCCUCGACGAGACUGUCUGCUUUUGUGCAGGCAUGCCAUUUUGA
rnacentral:misc_RNA from 1 species